UACGUAGGGGGCGAGCGUUGUCCGGAUUUAUUGGGCGUAAAGAGCUCGUAGGCGGCUUCGAAAGUCGAGUGUGAAAACCCCGGGCUCAACCCGGGGACGCCACUCGAUACUUCGAUGGCUAGAGUCUGGUAGGGGACUACGGAAUUCCCGGUGUAGCGGUGAAAUGCGCAGAUAUCGGGAGGAACACCAGUGGCGAAGGCGGUAGUCUGGGCCAGCACUGACGCUGAGGAGCGAAAGCGUGGGGAGCAAACAGG
rnacentral:rRNA from 1 species